UGCUGCUUUUAUUUUGAAAAUGUACCCGCCAGUUUCCUGUAUUUUUUUUCUUCGUGGAAAACUUGACAGAAUGACGUCACACACCCGGAACAGCUGAGCAGUGUUUAACAGUGUUUACCAUUUUUUACAGUGUACUGGGCGUUUCCUGAAACUCCUGUUACACACUGAAUUACACUGUAAAAAAACUGUAAAACAAUACACUGUAAAAAGAAUUACACUGUUAAAAAAACUCUUAACCACACUGUAAAACAUUAGCACAUACACUGUAAAACCAACCAAACUGAACCAGUUGAUUUUUCUCUUCAGUAAAAAAAAAGUGAAACAAUAGAACCCAGUAAAAACAUCAGAGUAGAUUCUGAUAGAGACUCAGGAGGUUUAGUGUAGUUCACCUGUCGGUCUGCAGGCGGUGCUGCUGUACAACACUUCACACCUACUGCUGCUUUCAGGGCCCAUCAGGAAACAUCAGUCUUCAUGGUCUCACUUCAGUUAAUAAUCAAUCAAUAAACAAAUCAGUCAGAGUUUGGAAAACUUUAUUGAUUUAAUGGUGAUUUACAGACGGAGUCAUGAAGCUGGAAUUAGGUCAGAGUUAAAGAGAAAAGAUUCAUGUUGUGUUUCAGUCCAGGAACAAGAGGAACUAAUAGGAGCUACAGGGUUCUAUCAUCAGGUUCUAAUAUCAGGUUCUGUCAUCAGGUUCUAAUAUCAGGUUCUAUCAUCAGGUUCUAAUAUCAGGUUCUAUCAUCAGGUUCUAAUAUCAGGUUCUAAUAGGUUCUAUCAUCAGGUUCUAACAGGUUCUAACAGGUUCAGAUUAAAAGCAUCAGGUUUGUUAUUGAUCUCUGAUGCAGGAGACAAUCAGCAGUUUCACUCUGUCAUCAUGCACUCCUUCAGUUUUUCCCACAUCAGAGGCAGAGGUGCAUCAUGGGAGUUGGAGCCAGGAAGUUAAUAAAGCUUCUUUUCAAAAUAAAA